GCAGCUUCUUUGGAAGUACAGCAGCAGUGGGAAACGAGUACUUGAGAGCAGUGCUAGGUAGGCAAUCAGGGAAGGGUUCCAAGCAGUCGGUUCCUUACCCGAGUUUGAGUGGAGGUUCCGACAUAUUGCUUUCUUUAUCCUUGUCUUUGCAGGUAAGAACAAGGACAAAGGAAAGGACAGGGAGAGUGCAUGAUAUGAGAUACUCUUGCUUUCUACCCUGGUGAUAUG
rnacentral:lncRNA from 1 species